UUAAACUUCUUAAAACUAAUAAAAGCAAAACAAGCAUCAAUUUUUCACAAUUCAAAAUUUUAUGAUAAAUAAUGCUUGAGAGAGCCAGUAAGAGCGUCGUCUGUUUAGCCGAACCAUUUGAUUUUGUAAUGGUUUUUGUAGCGAUAAAUUGUGCAACAGUUAAUGUAUAGUGGAUUGAACUGUAGUUACUCGAUUGCCAAGACAUAAUAAAUCGACUGAGAAAGUAAAGGAAGAUUCCUGCGGGGAAUGUGCUUUUCGGCACGACAUGCGGAUUUCAUACGUCGCGAGCUGAAUACUGUGAGGAGUCUUAAAACUCUCAAAAAAUACAACUUAGGAAAGCUGCUUAGCAACAGCGAAGACGGCUGGAAUGUGAGAGUUGUCAGGCGGCCAGGUCGAACGGAAAAUAAUGGACCUUGGACCCCGACAAAGUGGAGAGACCGUGAACUAACGGUAUUGCGCUGGACCUUUGACUCGAGCUCUGGACGGCCAAGGCCCAAGGUCGAACGGUAACAAUGCGGACUUUGGACGAGCACAAAGAGGACGCACCUUGAACUAACGUGGCCUUGUACCUGAGCGGACCGUGCACAAAAAAAUAACGCGAUCCCCGCGACCACCUAUACCAACAAGGCGACAAGAGAUUCGCGAGUGGGAACGAACAGUGAGAAAGUAAGAGUAACGCCGCGAACAGUCAACCCGUCAGUGAAAAACGCGCACCCGUCGACAAGGUAACGGUCUGUGAGAACGCGCAGGACGUAGAAGGGAAUUAGCCAGUGAGCGGACAUACAAGGACAAUCACUCCAGGUGAAGAACGGUGCAAUGCAGAGAUCCGCGGAGCACGAUAACACAAGAACCUGGUCAGAAGGGACAGUGGAGUCAGUGGUCGGUAAGGGUAGUCCCUGGCCGAGUGUUGCCUUAACCAGUUGACGAUAUACCCUGGCCCAUGACAUCCUAAUCCCUUUCGAUCCUGCACGUGUUCCGUUGUCAGGGACACACAGGAAGAUGAAGGCAAGGCGUCGCAGGAGCAACGCCGCGCAGCAGACGGCGAUCAGCAGUCAGCCGUGAAAUACUACAAUAAAGCGCCCUUAAUCUG
ensembl:ncRNA lncRNA:CR43242 long non-coding RNA:CR43242